AUUAUAGGGUUGGUUACACGCCACGUAUCCUAGAUUUGAACGACGCGGUGCUUUUCCUUCUCCAAGGUACCAUAUCGGUUUCGUUUUAUCACAUACCUGUCAUUCUUGUUCACCAAUGAUUAACUUACCGUCGUAGGAAUGAAGAGGCAAUAAAAACUUUAUCCUCUUUUAAAAACCACAAUUAGACACUGUCUUUCCGUUCAUCCACCGACUGUCUUCUUUCGAUCGCAACUUCGACUUUCUAGAACAUCUCUGUCUUUCUCACAACCAAAAAGAAGUCUAACCAAAUCAUUUAGAGAAAGAAAGAACAACUGAUUUGGCGGCAAUAUAUGAUUCAUCUUCCUGGAUUCGUUAACACAGGGUGUUCAACUGUCACAAAGUUCCAGAAGUGCUAUGAACACAGUCAACAUGAUGAUCUGUGGAGUCACUUCAUAAUAUGCACAUAAUCUGUUGUGUAAAUGCUCAAGUAACUUCUAAAAGAUUCUGGCGAUGUUAACCAUCUGAUGAGUUUAGUUUUGGAAUUAAAAGAAAUAAAAGUUUACUGAGUUUAGAGAUAUAAUUGAUAAAUUAUUACCAAAUGUUGACUAUUGUUCAUUGUCUAAUGAAAUAUGAGGUAUAUGUGCAUGUUGUAGUGAUAAAAAUGACUAACAUCUAAGCUAUAGGGCAUAAAUAGCAAUGUACUUUUUUUAACAUGGUGAGAUAAUCUUUUGUUUGAUCAAUUACUUCUUACACAAUCAAAUUUGCUAUCACUAACACUUUCAAUA